rnacentral:lncRNA from 1 species
UCCCCUUCUGGUAUCUUCCCGUCUAACCAUCGAACCAGCUCCCUCUUCAGUUGAUCUAACGUGGUGAUGUUCCAAAACAGCAUCACCAAUUGAGGUUUGUCUCUCGCAUAAAUCACCUUACCGUAUCGGCGACGAACACCAAACUGAUAGCCAAAUGAUUAUUUGAGUUGUGGAACAAUAGGUCACACAACGCAUCUAUUUAUAAUACAAAAAGGCAUUUUAUGAUGGACUCGGCAAUUGAGUUGGCGCCUCCUUUUAAA